rnacentral:rRNA from 1 species
CACCCGCAGCUCGAGCGGUGGUCACUUUUAUUGAGCCUAAAGCGUUUGUAGCCGGUUUUGCAAAUCUUCAGAUAAAUUCCUCUGCUUAACAGAUGAUCUUCUGAAGAGACUGCGAGACUUGGGACCGGGUGAGGUUGAAGGUACUUCCGGGGUAGGGGUAAAAUCCUGUAAUCCUGGAAGGACGACCGGUGGCGAAGGCGUUCAACUAGAACGGAUCCGACGGUGAGGAACGAGGGCUAGGGUAGCAAACCGGAUUAGAUACCCGGGUAGUCCUAGCUGUAAACACUGCCCACUUGGUGUUGCCCCUCCGAUGAGGGGAGGCAGUGCCGGAGCGAAGGUGUUAAGUGGGCCGCUUGGGGAGUAUGGUCGCAAGGCUGAAACUUAAAGGAAUUGGCGGGGGAGCACCGCAACGGGAGGAGCGUGCGGUUUAAUUGGAUUCAACGCCGGAAAACUCACCGGGAGCGACCUUUGGAUGAGAGUCAGCCUGAUGAGCUUACUCGAUAGAAGGAGAGGUGGUGCAUGGCCGUCGUCAGCUCGUACCGUAGGGCGUUCACUUAAGUGUGAUAACGAGCGAGACCCCCAUCUCUAAUUGCUAACGUGCAUUCGCGUGUACGCGCACUUUAGAGGGACCGCCAGUGCUAAACUGGAGGAAGGAGGGGUCGACGGCAGGUCAGUACGCCCCGAAUCUCCCGGGCAACACGCGCGCUACAAAGGGCAGGACAAUGAGUUGCCACCUCGAAAGGGGGAGCUAAUCUCGAAACCUGUUCGUAGUUAGGAUUGAGGGCUGUAACUCGCCCUCAUGAAUGUGGAUUCCGUAGUAAUCGCGGGUCAACAGCCCGCGGUGGAUAUGCCCCUGCUCCU